CCGGUCCGUGCGCUUUCUUGUUUGUCAGGCCCAGCUCCGAGACUGUAGGUUUUUGUAAGUGGACAAGUGAAGGUAUGUGCUGAGGGGUACGCGUGGUCAGCAGAAGACAACCCGAGGACUCCAGCCUUGCCUUCCAGCUGAAGCGCCCGGCCGCGGCUAGCCUUUAAUCCCAGCACUCGGGAGGCAGAGGCAGGCGGAUCUCCGUGAGUUCGAGACCAGCCUGGUCUACAGCGUGAGUUCCAGGACAGCCAGCGCUACACAGGGAAACCCUGUCUCGAAACCACGCCACCCACAAAGGGAGGUGAUUGGAGGAUUGAAUUCAGAUCAUCAGUCUUCAUGACAGCCAGAGGCUUGGAGGAUCUGGAUGGGGGCCUGGGCAGCUGCCUCCCCAGCGAUGACUUCUCGUUACUGGAGGAGCCAAGCUCAGGCCGACGGCCAGACGGCAAGGC